CUACCCACUGCCUUCUAGGGUGAACGGGCCGUGGUGUUCGGGAAGACCGGUGCCGGCCCUUCAAGGGCUCAGUCCGGAGCGGCCCUCGCCACUGUGAUCGGGAAGUUCCCGCCCCACACACGCCACUGGCCACACAGCCGGGAAGGCAGGGGCGGGCGCGUCGACCCGUCAGCCAGGAGACCGGCCACGGCAUCACGAAGCUG
rnacentral:ncRNA from 1 species